CAGAAAGCUGAUUAGGUAUAACAUUAAUGGAGAUUCUCAAAAUUUGAGAGAGACGAGUCUUCUUCAUUAAUCGCUGUGUCUAUCUCGGUUCGUGUUGUAUUGUUUCGUUUUCGAUUCAUCUCCUUACUGGCGUUACAAGUUCCAUUGAUUCAGUGUCAUUAAUGAGAUCUUAACUCUUCCGAGCCACUGCAACCACGACCAUUCAAUUAAUGAUUAUUAUACCUUUCCAAGCGGUGGGUCUCUACCUAUAAAAAGGUAAGACCUCAUCCCUUGAGAAUCAUCCUCACAACUCCAAUAGCAUUUGAAGAUGACCAGCAUGGAGAUUGGCUUCUCCUCUUUCCUUCCCUCAACAGGUUAUAUCAGUCAGUGGAAAAUUCUGAGUCCAUGUAAUUAAAGCUACCGCAAACUACAAUGUUGAUGCUAGCGUAUUCAAUUGUUUGGAAGAGCCUCUUCUAUUCACUUAGUGAUCAUCUUUAAGGAUGUUUUAGCUUCUUUAGUUCUCUGUUUUAGUACUGCAGAUUUCUAGGCUUAUUGUGAUUACUGACAUUGUGUCUUUUUGGUCCAGACACAAUCCAUAACCAGGAUCGUAUUUAUAUCCCUUAUACCAAUACUUGAAAGGCUGUUAACUCAUCAUUCUACUAAACUCGUAUCAUCUAAAGAUCUCAACAUCAGAAGUAGAGAGCUUCCACAAGAACAAUAUAUAUGAUGAAGCAGAGGAUGCUGUAAGGAUUGAUUUAGCAGGCAGAUUUGCUAUACAAUAUUUCUCUACAGAGAAGCUACUUAAGGUGAAUAUACAUACCGGAGGAGAUUGAUACAGAGCUCGACUUGGUUCUUCCAUAUCAAAUAAAUUUUAUGUCUAGGCAGCUCUUCGGCAACGGUUUCCAACUUUUAAAGCAGGAAGGAUUUGAAAAUA